rnacentral:rRNA from 1 species
UGUAUCAGGGCUUAUUAAAUUAGGAUUAAGGCUUUAUUUAUCUCGAAUUUAAAAGAGCUAUGCAUGAAUAUAUAUUAAUGUAGAAUAAUUAUUUAUAAUUUGUGUAUUGUAAUGAAACGUUAUUCGUUUUUAAAUAUAUCUAGUUUUCUAAGAAAUUAAUUAAAUUUAGUAAUUGUUUAAUAUUUUUAUUAAUUUUUAUUUUUAUAUUAACAGUUGUUAAUAUCUGAAGGGAUGAGCUUUUGGAUAGAUACUUAUAAGAUUUUUUUUGUUUGAUAAUUUGUAGGAUUAGAAUUUUCCAUCUAUAAAAGGAUGUUAUAAUUUAUUAUUGAAGAAUAUGAUUUAUAUUUUCUUUAGGUUUUUUAUUAGAAUGAUAAUACUAAUUUUUGGUAUUAUGAAAUAAUGAUUAGAUUAGUAUAAUUAUUUGUGAUUUUAAGUUAUUAUGUAAGGUUACUGAAAGGAACUCGGCAAUUUUAAUUUUCACCUGUUUAAUAAAAACAUGGCCUUUUGAGGAUGAUUUAAGGUCUUACCUGCCCAAUGAUUUUUUUAAUGGCCGC